GCCGACGUAGCUCAACGGCAGAGCAAGCGAAUCAUAAUCGCUGGGUUACUGGUUCAAAUCCGGUCGUCGGCA
rnacentral:tRNA from 1 species